rnacentral:lncRNA from 1 species
UUGCUCCCACCUGUUCAGAAAGGAAUGUUGAAUAAUACUGUCAGCAGAUCAACUAUGUUAAUACUUGGGAUGUUCUGAAGACUUGAUACACAGUCCUUCCAGUGGCACAUAAGACAACUGACGACAGCAGCAGCACAGUUGGGCAUGAAGGUUUUAUGCCUAUGUCUGUUCAGAAAUGCCCUUUCAGUUAUGUACUCCCAUAAACUGAAUCAGCAUAUAAAUCUGCACGCUAUGCAAUAGAUGUAUAUGUAGCGGAGGCGCUGGGAUCCA